CCACCUGUGCACAUCUUGUAACUUGGAUUACACUUUCCGGGGCAACUCGUCCGGAAGAAAUGCUGCUCUCUGUGGGUCAGCUUUCUUGCAAUUCCAAGCCUAUGGUUUUUUAAAAAACCCCUAAGUAGUAACAAAAAGGAUAAUUGGGCCUCAGUGCCUAUAAACCUUAUACAACUUUCAGCCAACGAACCUCUUGGCUCUCGCAUCAUGAAGAACGCAGCGAAAUGCGAUAAGUAAUGUGAAUUGCAGAAUUCAGUGAAUCAUCGAAUCUUUGAACGCACCUUGCGCUCCUUGGUAUUCCGAGGAGCAUGCCCGGUUGAGUGUCAUAUAAUUCUCAACCUUAUUAGCUUUUGCUGAUAAUGGCUUGGAUGGUGGGGGUUCUCUUUUGCUGGCUUCUUCAGAAGUCAGCUCCCCUUAAAUGCAUUAGCUGGUGCCCCGCGUGGACUGUCUAUUUGGUGUGAUAAUUA
rnacentral:rRNA from 1 species